AGGGAUCAUUACCGAGUGAAGGGCCUCCGGGCCCGACCUCCAACCCUUUGUAUUCCGACUCUGUUGCCUCGGGGGCGACCCGGCCUUCGGGCGCGGGCCCCCCGGCGGUCCACUCAACUCUGCAUCUUUGCGUCUGAGUAAAUAUUUGAAUCAAUCAAAACUUUCAACAACGGAUCUCUUGGUUCUGGCAUCGAUGAAGAACGCAGCGAAAUGCGAUAAGUAAUGUGAAUUGCAGAAUUCAGUGAAUCAUCGAAUCUUUGAACGCACAUUGCGCCCUUUGGCAUUCCGAAGGGCAUGCCUGUUCGAGCGUCAUUACACCACUCAAGCCUCGCUUGGUAUUGGGCGCCGCGGUCCGCCGCGCGCCUCAAUGUCUCCGGCUGAGCCGUCCGUCUCUAAGCGUUGUGAAUCAAUCAAUCCGCUUGCGAGGCCGGGCUGGCUGCGCGCCGUUAAAAGCCCCAUUCUUCUAGGUUGACCUCGGAUCAGGUAGGGAUACCCGCUGAACUUAA
rnacentral:rRNA from 1 species